rnacentral:rRNA from 1 species
CGGACGGGUGAGUAACGCGUGAGAAUCUGGCUUCAGGUCUGGGACAACCACUGGAAACGGUGGCUAAUACCGGAUGUGCCGAAAGGUGAAAGGUUAACUGCCUGAAGAUGAGCUCGCGUCUGAUUAGCUAGUUGGUAGAGUAAAAGCCUACCAAGGCGACGAUCAGUAGCUGGUCUGAGAGGACGAUCAGCCACACUGGGACUGAGACACGGCCCAGACUCCUACGGGAGGCAGCAGUGGGGAAUUUUCCGCAAUGGGCGAAAGCCUGACGGAGCAAUACCGCGUGAGGGAGGAAGGCUCUUGGGUCGUAAACCUCUUUUCUCAGGGAAGAACACAAUGACGGUACCUGAGGAAUAAGCAUCGGCUAACUCCGUGCCAGCAGCCGCGGUAAUACGGAGGAUGCAAGCGUUAUCCGGAAUGAUUGGGCGUAAAGCGUCCGCAGGUGGCAAUGUAAGUCUGCUGUUAAAGAGUCUAGCUCAACUAGAUAAGAGCAGUGGAAACUACAUAGCUAGAGUACGUUCGGGGCAGAGGGAAUUCCUGGUGUAGCGGUGAAAUGCGUAGAGAUCAGGAAGAACACCAGUGGCGAAGGCGCUCUGCUAGGCCGUAACUGACGCUGAGGGACGAAAGCUAGGGGAGCGAAUGGGAUUAGAUACCCCAGUAGUC